rnacentral:rRNA from 1 species
AGGAUGAACGCUGGCGGCGUGCCUAAUACAUGCAAGUCGAGCGGCAGCACGGUCUUCGGACUGGUGGCGAGCGGCGGACGGCUGAGUAACGCGUAGGAAUAUACCCCAAAGUGAGGGAUAACUGCCCGAAAGGGUGGCUAAUACCGCAUGUGGUCUUCGGACUAAAGCCUUCGGGGCGCUUUGGGAAUAGCCUGCGUAAGAUUAGCUAGUUGGUGAGGUAAUGGCUCACCAAGGCGACGAUCUUUAGCUGGUCUGAGAGGAUGACCAGCCAGACUGGAACUGAGACACGGUCCAGACUCCUACGGGAGGCAGCAGUAGGGAAUUUUCCACAAUGGCGAAAGCCUGAUGGAGCAACGCCGCGUGCAGGAUGAAGGCCCUCGGGUCGUAAACUGCUUUUAUGUGCGAAGAAUAUGACGGUAACACAUGAAUAAGGGUCGGCUAACUACGUG